AUUCUUUUGUAGUUCUUAAGUGAUGAGUGAGUUUUCACCUCAUGUGUGAGACGUGCCUCCCUCAAACCUUGUUACAAUGUAGGCACAUUACCCAUCUGACA